AGUGUGUUAAAUUUAAAUUCUGUUAGUGCUGCACUAAAAGAAUCGUUAGUAAUAAGCUCAUGCAGUGAAGGAACUGAACAAUUGUGGGAACGUAUUUGGGCCGAAAAUGGGUGUGGUACAGAAACCCAGAAAUAGCACAAGUUCAACAUGAAACAUGGAUUAGAUUUUAACGGGGGAUCAAAUCAAGUCUGCAAGUGUUACAGGAUGGAAGAGUGAGCCUACAGAUGAAAAAACACUGAGAGUGCAUUACCGUAAGGUGUGAGGUAAAUUAAUAGAGUAAUGCAAAUUGCCUAAUGAGAAGUACCAUCUUGUGUUAAUGAAUCCAGUACAACAGCAAUCCUUUAUAGUUCUGUCACAGCUAGAAGCCUCAAAUAAUUCUGCUUCUCUGUCUAAAGAACAACUUGUCCUUUACGUUCAGAGUGUUGGGGAAACUGGGUACUUAAAUGGCCCUAAAGAUGUUUUAAUUUUGCUGCUAUUGCAGAGAUGAACAUCAUACAUGGACUCUUUAGGUCUUAUCUACCAAAAAAAAUUUUAUCCAAUAGGAAAGGAUUUUCAUGUACUGGGAACACAACUAUCAACAAUGCAACAUUCUACAGGUGCUAGUUUAUCAUUCAAGAGCCUUAUACAAUGAAGUUAAUCUGCAAUUUGUAUGUCCUUUCCCAAGCUUCCACCAGAAGUUGAAUCUAUGAGUCAUGUAAGUUCCAUGAUCAACAAUUGAUGUGUUUAACGGUGUUGUUUUUCUUUUCUCAAUAUAGGUUAAUAGUAACAUUGGAUCUGAAAAGAUUCUUGGUUGGGGCAAGACACUGAAUAAAUUGUAUUGAUUGGAUGGAUGACAUGACAUUGCUAUACUUAAUUCGGAUUCCCCAGACGGUAUUUGAUAUUUAAAAAAUUGAAGUGCAUAUCUGGGCUCCCUUCUUUUCUGAAGCCCCGUUUCCCCUUGACUCAUAAUAAGCCCGUAGGGGGUCAUGCCCCUACUGUACGGUAUAUAUAAAAACAACAUAUACCGAGGUUUGGAGGGCUCUGGCCGGAAAGGGGACGUGGGGUGCCGCUUCGUCCGAUGAUGUGUUCACGGAGGGUGACGUGGCUGCCCACAAAUCCGAACUAAAGGUUAAUCGCUCCUGUAAAAAUGUUCCAAAUCUUCAGCUCUUCUUCCGGCUUCUCUUAGCCAAUCACCGGGUAAUCUCCCCGGUGGGUCAACAAGGCAGUGU